ensembl:rRNA 5S_rRNA 5S ribosomal RNA
GUCUACGGCCAUACCAGCCUGAACACGCCCGAUCUUGUCUGAUCUCAGAAGCUAAGCAGGUUCGGGUCUGGUUAAUACUUGGAUGGGAGAAAGAUAGACAUCUGCAGACC